UACGUAGGUGGCAAGCGUUGUCCGGAUUUACUGGGCGUAAAGCGAACGCAGGCGGGCCUUUAAGUAGGAAGUGAAAGGUUGGAGCUUAACUCUAACACUGCUCCCUAUACUGGAGGCCUUGAGUUUCGGAGAGGAAGACGGAACUGCAGGUGUAGCGGUGAAAUGCGUUGAUAUCUGCAGGAACACCAAUGGCGAAAGCAGUCUUCUGGACGAAUACUGACGCUCAGGUUCGAAAGCGUGGGGAGCAAACAGG
rnacentral:rRNA from 1 species